CUGAGCCUUCUAUGUAAACCCUGAGGUUAGGACAGCUCUGUCUCCCUUAGGAAACAUGACACUCAGCCUCCACUCCGUCUGAGUUGAGCUGGCCAGAGAACCUUAGUAAAUAGCUGGAUUCAAAUUUUUUGAUCCAGUAUGAGUCAGUGUGUGAGGGAAGAAACAUUACUGAGAAACUACAAAGCUCAAGCAUUUGAGGUGACUCAAAUGCAGCAGACAAGCAGCUCACAAAGUGUGGCCCACGGAUCCUCAAAGACCUGCGUGUUCCAGGUUUGAAGCCAGCUAACUUGCUCAUUGCCUUCCUCGCUCCAUUUCUGGAUGAAGCUCUGUUCCCCACCCCGGGCAUAACACCUUCGGCUCAACCUCUUGGGGGCAGGCUGAAGUCUCUACUUCAGAGAACAACCAGUACCCCCACCUCCCAUGUGCUGCUGUACUUGCAGUGUUAAUAAAUCUUUCUGCCUCGA